GAUGAACGCUGGCGGCGUGCUUAACACAUGCAAGUCGAACGAAGCACUCUAUUUGAUUUUCUUCGGGAAUGAAGAUUUUGUGACUGAGUGGCGGACGGGUGAGUAACGCGUGGGUAACCUGCCUCAUACAGGGGGAUAACAGUUGGAAACGACUGCUAAUACCGCAUAAGCGCACAGGAUCGCAUGAUCCGGUGUGAAAAACUCCGGUGGUAUGAGAUGGACCCGCGUCUGAUUAGCCGGUUGGCAGGGUAACGGCCUACCAAAGCGACGAUCAGUAGCCGACCUGAGAGGGUGACCGGCCACAUUGGGACUGAGACACGGCCCAAACUCCUACGGGAGGCAGCAGUGGGGAAUAUUGCACAAUGGGGGAAACCCUGAUGCAGCGACGCCGCGUGAGCGAAGAAGUAUUUCGGUAUGUAAAGCUCUAUCAGCAGGGAAGAAGAAUGACGGU
rnacentral:rRNA from 1 species